rnacentral:rRNA from 1 species
CCUACGGGAGACAGCAGUAGGGAAUCUUGCACAAUGGACGAAAGUCUGAUGGAGCAACGCCGCGUGAGUGAAGAAGGGCUUCGGCUUGUAAAGCACUGUUGGUAGGGAAGAAGGAUAGGGGGAGUAACAGGCCUUUAUUUGACGGUAAUCACUUAAGAAGUCACGGCUAACUACGUGCCAGCAGCCGCGGUAAUACGGAGGGGGCAAGCGUUGUCCGGAUUUAUUGGGCGUAAAGCGAGUGCAGGCGGUCCAAUAAGUCUGAUGUGAAAGCCUCCGGCUCAACCGGGGAAUUGCAUCAGAAACUGGUGGACUUGAGUGCAGUAGAGGGGGGUGGAACUCCAGGUGUAGCGGUGAAAUGCGUAGAGAUCUGGAAGAACACCAGUGGCGAAGGCGGCCCUCUGGACUGCAACUGACGCUGAGGCUCGAAAGCGUGGGUAGCGAACAGGAUUAGAUACCCCUGUAGUC